GACGAACGCUGGCGGCGUGCUUAACACAUGCAAGUCGAACGGAAAGGCCCAGCUUGCUGGGUGCUCGAGUGGCGAACGGGUGAGUAACACGUGGGUGAUCUGCCUCUAACUUCGGGAUAAGCUUGGGAAACUGGGUCUAAUACCGAAUAGGACAAUCGUUUAGUGUCGGUUGUGGAAAGUUUUUUCGGUUAGGGAUGAGCCCGCGGCCUAUCAGCUUGUUGGUGGGGUAAUGGCCUACCAAGGCGUCGACGGGUAGCCGGCCUGAGAGGGUGGACGGCCACAUUGGGACUGAGAUACGGCCCAGACUCCUACGGGAGGCAGCAGUGGGGAAUAUUGCACAAUGGGCGCAAGCCUGAUGCAGCGACGCCGCGUGGGGGAUGACGGCCUUCGGGUUGUAAACCUCUUUCGACAGGGACGAAGCUUUGGUGACGGUACCUGUAUAAGAAGCACCGGCUAACUACGUG
rnacentral:rRNA from 1 species